rnacentral:rRNA from 1 species
GACGAACGCUGGCGGCGUGCUUAACACAUGCAAGUCGAACGGAAAGGCCCCUUCGGGGGUACUCGAGUGGCGCACGGGUGAGUAACACGUGAGUAACCUGCCCUUGACUUCGGGAUAACUUCAGGAAACUGGGGCUAAUACCGGAUAGGAAUCCUUGCUGCAUGGUGGGGGUUGGAAAGCUUCGGCGGUUUUGGAUGGACUCGCGGCUUAUCAGCUUGUUGGUGGGGUAGUGGCUUACCAAGGCUUUGACGGGUAGCCGGCCUGAGAGGGCGACCGGCCACAUUGGGACUGAGAUACGGCCCAGACUCCUACGGGAGGCAGCAGUGGGGAAUAUUGCACAAUGGGCGGAAGCCUGAUGCAGCAACGCCGCGUACGGGAUGACGGCCUUCGGGUUGUAAACCGCUUUCAGCAGGGGCGAAGCUUGUGGUGACGGUACCUGCAGAAGAAGCACCGGCUAACUACGUG